rnacentral:rRNA from 1 species
AGGGGAGCGUCGUGCAUGUGUUGAAGCGUUACCGUGAGGAGGCGUGGAGUGUGUGCGAGUGAGAAUGCAGGCAUGAGUAACGAAUUGGAAGGUGAGAAUCCUUCCCGCCGGAUGACUAAGGGUUCCUGGGUCAAGUUCGUCUUCCCAGGGUGAGUCGGGACCUAAGGCGAGGCCGACAGGCGUAGUCGAUGGAUAACCAGUUGAUAUUCUGGUACCCGAGUAUAUGCGCCCCUGAUAAAGCACUGAUACUAACCACCGUGCGUUACUGUGGUUGACCCUUUGGGGUUAACAUGGUGGCAAGCCGUGGGGCCUGAUGUGUGGUUCAAGCGAUGGGGUGACACAGUGGGGUAGCCAUGCCGCUUAGUGGAUUGUUGGUGUAAGCGUGUAGGUGAUGGUGUAGGUAAAUCCGCACUUGUUAUGCUGAGACGUGAUGCGUAGCCUUAAUUGGUGAAGUUGGUGAUCCCGUGCUGUCGAGAAAAGCCUCUAGCGAUGUAUAUACUCGGCCCGUACCCCAAACCGACACAGGUAGUCAGGUUGAAAAUACUAAGGCGUUCGGGUGAACUGUGGUUAAGGAACUCGGCAAAAUGCCCCCGUAACUUCGGGAGAAGGGGGACCCUAUGGCGUGAACACCCAUUUGCGGUGGGAAGCGUUGUGGGGUCGCAGAGAAUAGAGGGAAGCGACUGUUUAUCAAAAACACAGGUCCAUGCGAAGACGUUAAGUUGAUGUAUAUGGACUGACGCCUGCCCGGUGCUGGAAGGUUAAGAGGACCGGUUAAUCAAGCUUUGCUUGGUGAAGCUGAGAAUUUAAGCCCCAGUAAACGGCGGUGGUAACUAUAACCAUCCUAAGGUAGCGAAAUUCCUUGUCGGGUAAGUUCCGACCUGC